AACGAACGCUGGCGGCAGGCUUAACACAUGCAAGUCGAACGCCCCGCAAGGGGAGUGGCAGACGGGUGAGUAACGCGUGGGAAUCUACCCAGAUCUACGGAACAACAGUUGGAAACGACUGCUAAUACCGUAUACGCCCUACGGGGGAAAGAUUUAUCGGGUUUGGAUGAGCCCGCGUUGGAUUAGCUAGUUGGUGGGGUAAUGGCCUACCAAGGCGACGAUCCAUAGCUGGUCUGAGAGGAUGAGCAGCAACACUGGGACUGAGACACGGCCCGGACUCCUACGGGAGGCAGCAGUGGGGAUUAUUGGACAAUGGCGCAAGCCUGAUCCAGCCCUGCCGCGUGAGUGAUGAAGGCCUUAGGGUUGUAAAGCUCUUUCACCGAUGGAGAUAAUGACGGUAGUCGGAGAAGAAGCCCCGGCUAACUUCGUGCCAGCCGCCGCCGUAACAC
rnacentral:rRNA from 1 species